CAAUCCCUGAGUACAGUGGCGUACGGGUGAGUAACACGUGGGGAUCUACCUUUUGGGUGGGGGAUAACUCUGGGAAACCGGAGCUAAUACCGCAUAAGCAGGGAACUGGAAAGCCGAAAGGCGCCGGAAGAGGAGCCCGCGGCCGAUUAGCUAGUUGGUGAGGUAACGGCUCACCAAGGCAAAGAUCGGUAGCCGGCCUGAGAGGGCACACGGCCACACUGGCACUGAAACACGGGCCAG
rnacentral:rRNA from 1 species